rnacentral:rRNA from 1 species
GAGCACGUAGGUGGGUUUGUAAGUCAGAUGUGAAAGCCUUCUGUUCAACGGAAGAAUUGCAUCUGAAACUACAAACCUUGAGUAUAGGAGGGGAGAAUGGAACUUCUGGUGGAGCGGUGAGAUGCGUAGAUAUCAGAAGGAACGCCGGCGGCGAAAGCGAUUCUCUGGCCUAUUACUGACACUCAGUGUGCGAAAGCUAGGGGAGCAAACGGGAUUAGAUACCCCGGUAGUCCUAGCCGUAAACGAUGGGCACUAAGUAGAGGGGUUUU